UAUGUUAAGCUUUCAGUACCUUGAACCCGCUAUAUUUUCCAGACGAUCCUUUCAUUAAUUCGAUAUUUCCUUUUUUCAUUAGUAGCUCAAGAACUUUAUGGAGGAGUACUUCGUCUAAACAAUCUACCUCUUUAUAUUGUUCUUGAAGUUCGUAAAAUGUACAUAUAGACCCUUCUCGUCCCAUAUCGGAUAGCUGUAAAACAAUUAGUACUUUCGACUAUGCAGAAAAUGGCUUACCCAUUUCAAGAUCAUAUUCCCCCAUUCAGAUAUAGACCUCCAGUAUACCCAAAACACGUCUUUAGGAUUUCGCUUUUCAGUCCAUUCUGCUAGGUUUUGUUUCACCAUAUCCUCUACUAUUUCUCGAAACACCGAAAGAGGCAGCGUUCCUAUUUGGUAAGAAAGAAAGUUAGCACUAAGGAGUAAUACAAAGAGUUUUCUUACUAUGAAUUGUACUGUUAUGAAGCAAAGAACUUUCUAACAGUUCUGGGUUUAUCGUUAUACUUGUUUGCCUGUUUUCACGACACCAUAAUAGUAUCCACAUUUGCCAUGCUGCCUUUUGAGAAUGCCAAGUAUUAUCGUUUAAUUGACGGGUGAAGAAAGGAGGAAAGUUAUAAAUGGAUGGAACACGCAUCUUACUAGUCUAACUUAAGGACUUGAUAGGUGAAACAAAUUGGUUCUCAAUCUCGUAGGUUAGUAAUAUGUACAUUA